rnacentral:rRNA from 1 species
GAGCAAUCCGGUGGAAGAUGGGCUCGCGUCUGAUUAGCUAGUUGGUGAGGUAACGGCCCACCAAGGCGACGAUCAGUAGCCGACCUGAGAGGGUGAUCGGCCACAUUGGAACUGAGAGACGGUCCAAACUCCUACGGGAGGCAGCAGUGGGGAAUAUUGGGCAAUGGGCGAAAGCCUGACCCAGCAACGCCGCGUGAAGGAAGAAGGUUUUCGGAUCGUAAACUUCUAUCCUUGGUGAAGAUAAUGACGGUAGCCAAGAAGGAAGCCCCGGCUAACUACGUGCCAGCAGCCGCGGUAAUACGUAGGGGGCAAGCGUUGUCCGGAAUGAUUGGGCGUAAAGGGCGCGUAGGCGGCCAACUAAGUCUGGAGUGAAAGUCCUGCUUUUAAGGUGGGAAUUGCUUUGGAAACUGGAUGGCUUGAGUGCAGGAGAGGUAAGCGGAAUUCCCGGUGUAGCGGUGAAAUGCGUAGAGAUCGGGAGGAACACCAGUGGCGAAGGCGGCUUACUGGACUGUAACUGACGCUGAGGCGCGAAAGUGUGGGGAGCAAACAGGAUUAGAUACCCUGGUAGUCCACACUGUAAACGAUGAAUGCUAGGUGUAGGGGGUAUCGACCCCUUCUGUGCCGGAGUAAACACAAUAAGCAUUCCGCCUGGGGAGUAC